CCUACGGGACGCAGCAGUGGGGAAUAUUGGGCAAUGGGCGCAAGCCUGACCCAGCAACGCCGCGUGAAGGAAGAAGGCCCUCGGGUUGUAAACUUCUUUUAUCAGGGACGAAACAAAUGACGGUACCUGAUGAAUAAGCCACGGCUAACUACGUGCCAGCAGCCGCGGUAAUACGUAGGUGGCAAGCGUUAUCCGGAUUUACUGGGUGUAAAGGGCGUGUAGGCGGGUCUGCAAGUCAGAUGUGAAAUCUCAUGGCUCAACCAUGGAACUGCAUUUGAAACUGUAGAUCUUGAGUGAUGGAGAGG
rnacentral:rRNA from 1 species